AAUACGAAGGGGGCUAGCGUUGCUCGGAAUCACUGGGCGUAAAGGGCGCGUAGGCGGCCGAUCAAGUCGGGGGUGAAAGCCUGUGGCUCAACCACAGAAUUGCCUUCGAUACUGUUCGGCUCGAGACCGGAAGAGGUUGGUGGAACUGCGAGUGUAGAGGUGAAAUUCGUAGAUAUUCGCAAGAACACCGGUGGCGAAGGCGGCCAACUGGUCCGGAUCUGACGCUGAGGCGCGAAAGCGUGGGGAGCAAACAGG
rnacentral:rRNA from 1 species